ensembl:lncRNA
CGCGUGUGUAUCAACAAGCAAGUAUUUGUAUGUACACAAAAAACCUCAAUGGAACAUUAAAGCAGCAGACAGUCUGCGUUAUUAUUCAGUCUACUUCAAUCGCAGUCAUUCGUAGUCUGUAUCACCUUGUUCUGGAGUUGUCUUCUGUUGCAGUUCUCUGUUUCUCGUACCACGAGGCUGUGUAUUAUUCCCUGUACAUGGUGUCUGGUGGGUGUUUGCUGUUGACUUGACAGUGAGUAUUCUCUACCUGUGUGUGUAUUUUCUCGCGCCUGGGAUGUGACACAGGUCAAGUAGCAAUUGUGGCGGGUCACUCCAGCCAGAGAGGCUGCUACUCACCUUUUUUAUUGACAAAGAGGCACCCGAUUGGCCCUUGGACAGAAGAGCUGUUACUGUGCCAAUCAAGAUAGUCCCGCGAGUGGCCGAUCUGUCAAAGUCAGCGUCCUGAUGAUGCUGGAGACGUGGCAGACAGAGCAAUGCUCUGAUGCAAAGGUUACCGGCUCAUACUCUUGUAAGAGGAUGACGG